GCCGGCGACCAUACCACGUUGAAAGCACCGGUUCUCGUCCGAUCACCGCAGUUAAGCAACGUUGGACACGGUCAGUACUUGCAUGGGUGACCGGCUGGGAAUACCGGGUGUCGCCGGCU
rnacentral:rRNA from 1 species